ACUUUAUAUUGAUGGUGCUUUGUCAUGUGUUAGUGAUUGUUUGUUAUGAAAUCCAUUUUUAUUUUUGUACAUUUUUGUGUAUUUUGUUAGUACUUUCAGUUUACAUAUGUAUUACUUUUAUGUUUGUUGAAGCAUACUGAGAAAGUGUGAACACUGACGUUUAUCCUGAAAAGUUUGAGUACAUGUGAACUAAACAAAGAAUAAUACUAUCAGGUAAUUGUUUACUUGUCUACAAGUUCUAAGAUCCAUCCUAUAGUCCCUAAUCAGAUGACAAGUAUUGUGUUAUGGUGAUGGUGCUUUAUUAAUCAGUAUCUGAUUAACUUUAUCAUUUUCUUUAUACUUGUAUCAUUAUUUUUUGGGGAGCAAAAUGUAAAACAGGUAUUUGCUCACAAUUUUACAAUUAGUUUUUGUUUAAACAGCAAUAAAAUUAAUUGUUCAGCACAUUUUAACUUUAUAUAUAGAUUUUUUACAAACUUCCAAGCACGCAAAAGUCAAAAUAGAAGUGAGUAAAUUGUAAUGUUAGAACUAAAAUGUUUAGUAUACCAAAGUUUUUGUUAGAAACCCAUGUAAAGUACAUGGCAAACCUUCGUGGCACUGAUGCCUUGAGUUCUAACUACCUUACUCUACGUGUGGUGUGUUGAUGUCUGUGAACUCAUGAAUCUGUAUAAUAUGUAAAUACUGGUAUUCUGGUGUAUACAUGUAUAUAGCUUUGUUCUUUGUGAGAAUCUGUCUUUCAAUUUGUCAUUAAUAUUAAUGUCCAAAGCGUUGCCUUGAUAUUUGACUUUAUCAAACAAUGAUGAGCCAGAUGAAGCACAGAAUCAUGUUUUUUUUUAAUUAAAAGUUUCUUUGUAU
rnacentral:misc_RNA from 1 species